CUCUGGCUUGCCGGAGCGAUAAAAGAAUUUGGUUUCUGCAUACCUGUCAAAGUGGUCAUUGAGCAUAUCAAGAAAGGACUGUCAUCUUCCAAUCCAGCUCUCAGGAGGGCUUCUGUCACUUUGGGUGGAGUCGUGUACUUGUACAUGGGCAAUACACUACGCAAGCUCUUUGUUGGAGAGAACCCAAGUCUCCUGCAGCAGUUGGAUUCAGAGUUU